CCAUGAUUCUCUCUCACCAUUGAUGUUUCUAUCUCUCCCUUUUCCUUCCUCUCUGAAAUCAAUAAAAAUAUAUUUAUAAAUAAAUAAAUUUUAAAAAAUAAAGUUGUACUUUAUGCUGAGGUUUUAUAAAAUGGUGUUAAUGGUAGGUAGCUGUUUUGUUAAUAUUCUUUGACAAAAUUAAAGUUGACAUUUUAACUUAAAAGCUUUUGAAAUCUCACACUCUGGAACCCAUUAGUUUAAAUGACUUUUAGAAGGCCUUCCAACUGAGAUUCUAUGAUUUUUGUGUAUAUAUUUGAUGUUUCCUCAUUUGUUUCCAGCACUGACAAAUACCCAGCAAAAUGAUAUGAGUGGCCAUAGCCUUUUCAAAUGUUAUUUCAUUUUAUUCAAUCUUAAGAUUUAAAUUUUUCAGACUUAAAGAAGGACAAAGCCUCAGCAGUUGAAGAAUUACCUGUUUUAGGUCCUGCUAUUUUAAAGUUACAAGACAUUCUGUGCUUAUUGAAUCAGCAGCAGCUCUGGUGUAAUGGAAGGAGUCUUCUAAAAUGUGCCAAAAUGCAAUUUCUAACUCCUGGAUCAGAUGAAUUCAUUAAAAUGUAAUCAAAAGUGUAGGCCUAGGGUGGUCUGGGUGAAGGAAGUGGGGGAGGGGAGCAUGGGAAAUGGGGACAUCUGUAAUACAAUCUGCAAUUUAAAAGUACAGGAUAAAAUUUUAGACUUUGAGGAAGAUAUCACAUCUAGUUCAAUAAUCAUAUUUUUAAAUGCUUUACAAUUUUCACAUAUCAAUUAUGCCCUACUAGGACAAAAGUGGCUUGCCCAAGAUGAUACAGGUGAUAUUAGAGGCAAAAAAAGGACUAGAACCCCAACCUCUAACAGAAAGAUAAAAAGGAAAGGGUAGGAUGCAAAUUGGGACAGUCACACCACAAUGAUUACUUCUAUGUUUAUAGAGAGGCCAAGAUGAAUUGAAAAAAAAAAAAAAUGUUAAGCCCUAGUGUUUACCUAAGAAAAGGUCACUGGUAACCAGAGUAUGUUUUGAGUAAAAUGAUAAGGACAAGCACCAGAAGUAUAGCUAGAUGUUGUAAGAAGGAAAAUAAAACACAAGGGCAGCCUGCCAAUUUCUAGAAUUGAUUGGUGCAAAUAAGUAGAAAAAAUGGAAUGCCUUAGAAUAUGUCACUGUUUCAGGUGUUAACUGUUACACAGUCUCAUGUAUUGUACAAUGGGUUAUCAGAUAAGUUAGUGGAGUGAUAGAAAACAUGAGAACAUCAGAAAUGUCCUUUUGGGUCAGAGUGAUAAUCCAUUCAGCCUGUUUUCCAGUCAUUGGCAAUGACAGCAAUUUCUGUGUCUCUUCCCUCCUGUGCUGUUAUUCAGAAGGUUUUGUGAAAGUAGACUGCUGCAUCUGUGAUAGCAACUUCAAACACAUUUGAGAUAUUCCAUGAACAUUUCUUACUUUUUAUGUAGCCAUUCAUUUCAAUCAAUUUUAUUUGAACUUAUGCUUUUGACUCAUAAGGCUUCAAGAUUGAUAAAUUCCAUGUGUAUGCAAUUAAUCAUUUAUAUAUAUAAAAUAUUCACUAUUCUUUUCCUUAUAAAAGUGACAUAUAUUCUCUUGAAAAUUUUAGGUAAAUCAGAAAAAAGAAAACAAAAAUCUCUUAGAGAUAAUCAACACAUGUUUACAUUUUGAGUUAUAUAAAUGUACAGUCUUUUUUCUGUGUAUAUCAUGUGUGUAUAUUGUAUGUAUAUGUGUGUAUACAUAUAUUUGAUUUUAUUUCUUAAAACUUGCAACAAGUAAUCAUAGUGUACAUUUAGUUUUGAGACUUGUUUUUUUCAUUUAGUGAUUUGUUGGAGUCAUGUUCCCAUAUGAGUAAAUAAUCUUCCAAAAUAUCAUUUUUAAUGUCUAUAUAUUAAAUAUGUAUUGUAUUGAUGGAACAAUAUUUAACCAAUCCCAAGUUAGUAUUGCAGAUAUUUUCAAACUUUUGCUAAUAGUAUAAACAAUGCUUUAAUGAAUAUUCCUGUAGUAAAUCUUAGCUCAUAUCCAAAAUUAAUUGGUUAAGGUAUAUUUCUUGAAAUCCUACUAGUCUUAAAGCCCCUUAUAUAAUAAACAACAACUUCUGGUUCUGUUUUG